GGCCGUUGGGAGCAGUCGCAUUGCAGGUCGCUCUCCUCUCUCUCUUUACGGACGCGGUUUUUGAUCUUUAUAUCCUCGACAAAGUCAACCCGAGUGAAGACUUACAUCCGAGUGGUGGAGCAGAUACGGGUGAUUGAAUGCCUCAUGGGAGUAGGAGGCCCGGGCUCCCCUGGAGCUGGGUCCGAGCUGGUCGGUCCGCGUACGGGAACGGGCAGGCGAGCCGUGGGAAACGAUACAGAUGAUGGAAGUACCCCGAAUACCGGACCACACCUCAGUCAAUACCAGUUCGCCCGUCGGCGCAAGGUCACGAGACGCAUGGGUCCACUCGGACCCCCCCCACCUGUGGGCGCCAGGGUGGCGGUGGCGACGUUGCAGAGGUCCUCGCUGCAGCAGCAGAACAGCGUGAAGUC